rnacentral:misc_RNA from 1 species
AACGCAUAUUGCACUCUCUUCCGGGGAGUAUGCCUGUUUCAGUAUCAUUAAUCACAUCCAUUUUUCAAUGGAGUUGGACUCUUUGCCUUUUUAAAAAGGCUGGUCCGAAAAAAAUUGUCAGCAAUUGGGAGAAGAGAAUUGCCAAGCGUAAUAGUUGAUCUCUUUUGAAGGGUCCGUCUUUCGCUUUAUUUCUCAUUUUUCUUUGCAAAAGUCAUGCGUUUCAUAUGUAUUUUUUAAAAAUACAGAUAAAUGUACGCUUCACAUCUUGAUCUGAAAUCAGGUAGGGUUACCCGCUGAACUUAA